GUAGACUCCUACGGGAGGCAGCAGUGGGGAAACUUUAGAACAAUGGGCGCAAGCCUGAUCUAGCCAUGCCGCGUGAGUGAUGAAGGGCCCUAAGGGUCGUAAAGCUCUUUCGCCUGUGAUGAUAAUGACAGUAGCAGGUAAAGAAACCCCGGCUAACUCCGUGCCAGCAGCCGCGGUAAUACGGAGGGGGUUAGCGUUGUUCGGAAUUACUGGGCGUAAAGCGCACGUAGGCGGAUCAGAAAGUUGGGGGUGAAAUCCCGGGGCUCAACCCCGGAACUGCCUCCAAAACUCCUGGUCUUGAGUUCGAGAGAGGUGAGUGGAAUUCCGAGUGUAGAGGUGAAAUUCGUAGAUAUUCGGAGGAACACCAGUGGCGAAGGCGGCUCACUGGCUCGAUACUGACGCUGAGGUGCGAAAGUGUGGGGAGCAAACAGGAUUAGAUACCCUGGUAG
rnacentral:rRNA from 1 species